GCCGAAUAAAGAACUGCUCUGUGUGACCACUAUCAAGUAGUGCUUGCUCCUUCUCUCCAUGUAAAAUACUACACCCAGAAAACACUGCAUGCUGUCAGAAGUGCCGAAAAGUCACCUGCUCGAGUAAGGAUAUUGUUACAAGGACUUUGUUUACAGCUUAUCCAGCAUCAGCAUGGACUUUUUCAAAGCACCAGACCCUCUGCAGUUCACAGGAAAUGUAAGUGAAAACUGGAAGAGAUGGGAGCAAAGAAUUCUAGUUUAUGCUGAAGCAGCUGAACUUUACAAUAAGGAGCAAAAGACUCAGAUUGCCAUAGCCUUGCAUGUUGUGGGUGGGGAAGGACAAGAGGUUUACAACACACUGGAAUAAUAAUAAUAAUAAUAAUAACAAAGUAUUUAACCAGGAAAGGCACAUUCAGAUUACUCUGGUUUUCAAGUACGUCCUGGGGAAUCAGCCCUGCCUGUUGAAAGAACAUUGAAUUCAGUGCUGACAUUGUUCAGGGACCACUGUAAUCCAAAGACAAAUGAGACUAAGAGUGAAAGCAAGAGUUUGGGAAUAUACUUGUUGACAUGUUAAGAGACAAAUUUGUUUUUCGUGUUACUGAUGCCAGACUUAAAGAACGUCUACUCAGAGAGACUGACCAAACACUACAAAAGGCGGUAGAUAUGUGUCAGGCUGCUGAAGCCAAAUAAGACCAGGUUCAAGUUAUGGCAGCAAAAAUGGCAGCAAGCGCUUACCAGCCUAUUCAUGCAUUGGAGUACAACUCUACUCUCUCUAAAUCAGUGGAGGCUACUAGAGGCAGGUGUGCCCUAAUUGUGGCAGGGUUCACCCACCUCAAAGAUGCCCAGCAUUUGGGUGUGUUUGUUACACGUGUAACAAAAAUAAUCACUUUCACUUUAAUCCAGGGGCCAGGAGGGUGAGAAAGUAAAAAUGGUGGAGACUUUAUUUAUUGGAGCAAUACUGAGAUAUUUGACCUCUAACCAUGAACAAAACUCAAUGAGAAUGGGCUAAAAUUUAUUAUCAACAAAGUUAUAUCAACACAUUAAAUGACUGUGUGCCUUUAAAUCUGGAAUACCAUUGGGAUAGAUGAUGUCUACCUUUUCCCCAUCCUUAAAUAGUUAAACCAUACCUUCAGGAAGGGCUUAGUUCUAUACGUCUCUGCCAGAAUUUCAAUGGAAACAGUGCAAAGAAAUAUAAAACAAUUCGUUAUGGAUUCAUAUUGUGAUUUGCUUCUCUGCGUUCCUAAAAAUGAAAUGGGUUUUUACUUCCUCUUUAAUCAAAAACCGUAAAAAUACAAUAUUACAGCCUUAAAUCUAAAAGUAAAUGACAUUUUUAUAUCGGGCAUUGCUAUUACACCCAGGGAUUUGAUUUGGAAAUUCUGAAUAUCCUGCGGAUAAUUUAGUCAUAGGUUAUGUGAUUGUUUGAGUUGGCACCUUGGUCUAGACAGAGUGGGCGAGAGUGAGUGCGUCAAAUCUUUGGCGUUUACAAAAUCCCCAAGAUCCAGCCAUCUCAAGCACGUACAUGCCUUGAAAAGGAACGCAGACUGCCAAAUGCAACUAUCUGUGCACUGGCAGUAACUGGAAAGAACAACACCUAUUACCUACCUGGAGGUAGCCUGGCAGCAUGCCCUUAUGAGAAUUCUUGUUGUUCAAUUGAUAAAUAUCAUAAAGAGGCUUAAAGGAACACUAUAGUCACCAGAGCAACUACAGAUUAAUGUAGUUGUACUGGUCUCUAUUGCCCGUCCCUGCGUGCUUUUUAAUGUAAACGCUGUCUUUUCAGAGAAAAGGCAAUGUUUACAUUGCUGCCUAGUAACACCUCUAGUGGCAGUCACAUAAAUGGCCAGUAAAGGUGCUUCCUGGGGCACUGCUGCACAGUGUGAAACACCGAUGUUCAGCAUCUCCACCCUCUGCAUGGAGACACUGAAUGCUCCCCAUAAAGAUGCAUUAAUGAAUACAUCUCUAUUAGGAGAUGCUGAUUAGCCCAGAGCCGUGUUUUGCUCUGAAUGCGCAAUAGCAUCCUUAUGCUUUCCUAUGGGAUAGCAAUGAAUUGGCUGAGAAUGUCAAAUCUGAUGAUCUCAGUCAGAGAGAUGGAGUGGGGAGGAGCCAAGACUGGCGCUGCCCUGGAAAUAAGUUGAGUAAAAUCAUCUCAAGGGUGGGACUGACACCUAUACAGUGUUUUUAAAACCAUAUGUGAGCAAUGACAUUUCCUAACCUCUCCCAGAAUGCCAUGCAAAAUCUGCAAAUGAGCACAGUGUUAUGCCUGUCACAAAGUCACCUGGAAAAUUAAUUAGCAAUGUUUGUUCACAGUCUGAUGGGAGUUAGGGUGCUGUGCUAAACAUAUUACAGGCCUAUUUUCACCUGCUUUUAAAUCUGGAAUCUCAAGUUGGUAUGAACUCCAGAGCAGUGCAACUCUUAUUUGGAGAUUCUCUAUUGGACAGUAUCUAGUCUAUUCAAACACAAAGAGAAAUGCACAUCAGGAGAAAGUAUCCCACGCAGAGUAGUCUGUCAUGUUAUUUUGUUUUCUCUAUUUAUAACUCUAUCACUUUGGCUCCAUUCAAUCUAGGGAGUUACUAUGGCCCCCCAGCAGGAGACGUUAAGUUCUUUAACUGUCACCUUGGUCUCCUCCAUCUGCUUCAAACGUGGAAGCUCUACUGAGAGCUUCAUACCAGUCAGCCUUCUUCAGUACAGAAUUCUGUGCAUUCAGUUUCAAAUGAAUAGCAUUUUGUCCCAAUUUUGGGCGAUUAUUGAUUCAUCCUAAAUGCGGGAUGGGAGGGGGGCAAUUCAGGAUUCUACAGUGCAAGAAAAACGGGUUUGUUUUCCUGGAACUGGAGAGUCCCUUUAAGGUUAGAGUAGCUGAAGUGAAAGUAAAGUUGACAUAGAUAAUUUUUCCAGUUUGGCAAAUUUGACCCUAAAUUUUAAAUUCACCUUUAGUGAACUACCCUAGUGAACAAAUCGUGCUUUGCUUCACUGAUCUCAGAAAUAAUAAAUGGGAUUAUCAGUUAGAUCUACAGUUUUAUUUACUGUUCUAUGUAGGUUGUAGAGUUUUAAUGAUGCAUGUGCAAGGCCUGGAUCUGCUCUUCAGUAUCUCUUGGGUGGGUUGCGUUUAUAUAUUGUAUAUUUAUUAUCAGAAUCCAUGAUAAUUAAAGGGACACUAUAGUCACCAGAACAACUACAGCUUAUUGAAUUUGUUCUGGUUAGUAGAAUCAUUACCUUCAGGCUUUUUGCUGAAAACACUGUCUUUUCAGAGAAAAUGCAGUGUUUACAUUACAGCCUAGUGAUUACUUCACUGGCCACUCCUCAGAUGGCUGUUAGAGAUCCUUCCUGGGUCAUGGCUGCCUAAAAUGCAUCCAAACAUUCAGUGUCUCCACCCUCUGCAUGCAGACACUGAACUUUCCUUAUAGAGAUUCAUUGAUUCAAUUCAUCUCUAUGAGGAGAUGCUGAUUGGCCAGGGCUGUGAUUGACUUGUGCUGGCUCUGCCCCUGAUCUGCCUCCUUGGCAGUCUCAGCCAAUCCUAUGGGGAAGCAUUGUGAUUGGCUCAGGCAUCAAUUUCUGAUGAUGUCAGCAGACAGCUUGCUAGUCUGAGACAAACAGCAUGCAGAGCUACAGCUUCAGGCUUGAAUACAAGUAAGAUUUUACUAUUUUUAGGGAGGUAUGAGGGGCCCAGGGUGGCUAGAUGGUGGUUUUAACACUAUAGGGUCAGGAAUACAUGUUUGUGUUCCUGACCCUAAAGUGCUCCUUUAAGGAAGUUAGCCCAUUGAUUCUGAUAAGAUUACCAAAGGCUAUGUUUGUCAGCCACAGGUCACACUUGGUAGGUUUCCUUCAUCUUUCAACUGUUUAUGGACUAAAAAUCCCAUAAUUCUCAAGCUAAACAUAAUUUGGCAAGGGAUUAUAUAUCUACUUUAUCAAUAGCUGGAGGGUAUUGUUUGGACACCCCUUGAUUUAUAACCCCCAAGUCGAGGCAUCUUUCAUAGUCAUCUUUGUCAUAGUUAUCUUUCAUAAAUAAACCCACAAUGUUGUCAUAACAGAUCAACAAUAUCUGAGAAUGAGUCAUCAUAUUGCAAUUUUGUUUAAAUGUACAAUCUUGUCUUGGCUUAAAAACAAACAGAAUGGUUAAUGAAAAUCUAGUAUGAAAGAAUUUUGAUGAACAUGUGCCAAGUUUAAAGUAUGCUGGAAUAAUUGUUAUGUUAGUUUAAGUUAGUUUGAAGUCAAAAAUUGUUGAGCUGUGAAAAAAACCAAGGCCAGCAUAAUUUGACUGUGAUUUAAUAUGUACAAGAAAUAAACUCAAAACAUUUGGUCAUUUGGAAAAAAGAAAGAUAAGUUUUAUAGUGGAGUUAAAAAGUUACAUGUUUUUAGAUGAAAUUCAAUUGUAAAAAUGUGAUAAAACUUAAUCAUUAAGCCCAGCUGUAUUGUGUGUGUUGAUACAGAGGUCAAGUGUAUUUGGAGAAAAUCUUAAGAAAGAUACAAUUCCUAUUCUGCCUUAAAGGGACACUAUAGGCACCCAGACCACUUCAUUUCAUUGAAGUGGUCUGUGUGCAGUGCCCCUGUCCUCUUAACACUGCCAUUGUAAUUAUUGCAGUUAUUACCUUGCAGAGUUAACUCCACCUCUAGUGGCUGUCUAUAGACAUCGCUGCGCAUGCGCAUUAGGCCCCUCUGCCGGCUGAUGUUGGCAGAGGAGGAGUGACCCAGCACGAGGGUUAUUGGUGCUGAAAUAAGUUAAGUGACAAAAGGGUUUUAACCAUUUCAGUGUGAAGAGGAGGAAUGAAGAAGAGGGGGGAAGAGGGUACAACUUUGUAUUCCUAGCACUGUAGUUUCCCUUUUUAAUUUGAAGAAUUUGGUCUUUAAACUGCAGUUCCAGGUACAGCUCCUUUGGGUGUAUUGAUCUUUCUCUCAUCAAUGUGUAGAGUUUCAUUGUUGAUCUUUUUAGUACCUUCUGGUGCAAUAUAUAAAACUGGCCAGCUUGCAUUAAUUACUAGGAAUCAUUAAAUCUGUAUUUGGCAAAUAUUUCCAUUUCUCUCCAGUGCAAUGUGUGCCUGUAAGUGCCGGGCUUGUACUCAUUUUCUAAAUCUCUAACAUACAUUUCUUUAAAAAUAAAAUCAGCAUCACUUAAAAUGCUAUAGGUAAUUUUCAAUUAUGUAUUCAAUGCUGUAAUGUUCAGAUGAUUCUCCUUUAAAUCAUAAAUGUUUGAUUUUUAUACUGUAUAUCACGUGUUUUAAACCAUUUAAGGUCAUAUUAAAGUCUUAUGAGUACGUAGGUUUUUAUUACUGUUGGCAUUGGUAUG